CGUAGGUGGCGAGCGUUAUCCGGAAUCAUUGGGCGUAAAGAGGGAGCAGGCGGCUUAGAAGGUCUGAAGUAAAAGCCCGAAGCCAAACUUCGGGAAGCUUUGGAAACCGAUAAGCUAGAGUGCGAUAGAGGAUCGUGGAAUUCCAUGUGUAGCGGUGAAAUGCGUAGAUAUAUGGAGGAACACCAGUGGCGAAGGCGACGGUCUGGGUCUGCACUGACGCUCAUUCCCGAAAGCGUGGGGAGCAAAUAGGAUU
rnacentral:rRNA from 1 species